ensembl:lncRNA
GGGACCACCAGGAGACCUGGGGUCACCCAUGGUUGCAACCAUGUCCAGACCCUGGAUGCCUAGCAGAGAGAGAACUGAGGUCAGGGACUGCUGCCUGGUCUCAGCUAGUGUUCUGCAAGAUCUUCUGCAUCUGAAGAUGUAUUCCUGGUGCAUCUGUGGAGAGAGGUAUUCCACAUCCACCUACUCCUCUGCCAUCUUCAGCUAUACUCUUUUCACAUGUGCCGAUCACGCCCUCAACCGCAGACAGACAGCAUGCCAUGGGCACAAACAGGUCCAGGCAAGGUAAAGGUCCUCACUACAAAAGAAGCAGCUCAGAUUCAGAUGACACCUCCUACCAGCACCAGUAAAGCUGUCCUAACAGAACUAGGCGCAGUAACUUGCUAGUGUAAGUAUCCAUCCGAAUAUGUGUUCACCAGGAUCACUCUCAGAAAAAUAAAGCUGUCAGAUACUGAG